rnacentral:rRNA from 1 species
UGGCGCACGGGUGCGUAACGCGUGGGAAUCUGCCCUUGGGUUCGGAAUAACUUCUGGAAACGGAAGCUAAUACCGGAUGAUGACGUAAGUCCAAAGAUUUAUCGCCCAAGGAUGAGCCCGCGUAGGAUUAGCUAGUUGGUGGGGUAAAGGCUCACCAAGGCGACGAUCCUUAGCUGGUCUGAGAGGAUGAUCAGCCACACUGGGACUGAGACACGGCCCAGACUCCUACGGGAGGCAGCAGUAGGGAAUAUUGGACAAUGGGCGAAAGCCUGAUCCAGCAAUGCCGCGUGAGUGAUGAAGGCCUUAGGGUUGUAAAGCUCUUUUACCCGGGAUGAUAAUGACAGUACCGGGAGAAUAAGCUCCGGCUAACUCCGUGCCAGCAGCCGCGGUAAUACGGAGGGAGCUAGCGUUGUUCGGAAUUACUGGGCGUAAAGCGC